AUUGAACGCUAGCGGGAUGCUUUACACAUGCAAGUCGAACGGCAGCGCGGACUUCGGUCUGGCGGCGAGUGGCGAACGGGUGAGUAAUGUAUCGGAACGUGCCCAGUAGCGGGGGAUAACUACGCGAAAGCGUAGCUAAUACCGCAUACGCCCUACGGGGGAAAGCAGGGGAUCGUAAGACCUUGCACUAUUGGAGCGGCCGAUAUCGGAUUAGCUAGUUGGUGAGGUAACGGCUAACCAAGGCGACGAUCCGUAGCUGGUUUGAGAGGACGACCAGCCACACUGGGACUGAGACACGGCCCAGACUCCUACGGGAGGCAGCAGUGGGGAAUUUUGGACAAUGGGGGCAACCCUGAUCCAGCCAUCCCGCGUGUGCGAUGAAGGCCUUCGGGUUGUAAAGCACUUUUGGCAGGAAAGAAACGUCGCGGGCUAAUACCCCGUGGAACUGACGGUACCUGCAGAAUAAGCACCGGCUAACUACGUG
rnacentral:rRNA from 1 species